UUUUUAUUAACCUCCUACCAAACAAUAUUAACUAUAACACCAUUAAUUAUUUUUUAUCCCUUGACAAUUACUCCUCUAAAAUUUACAGGAGUAGUACUUAACCUUCAAUUUUUUUGACCUUAUACCAAAUACUUUUGUAAAUUUUACAAGAAUAAUCGUUAAGGAAUAAAAUAUAAUUAAUGGUAUAAUAAUUAAUAAUGUUUGGUAGGAGAUUAAUAAAAAAAACUUAAAUGAAGUAUGGUGUUCCUCCGUUUGUUAAGCUUUGUUAACCUAAUUUUCCAAGAUUAACAUUGAACUCCUAAGGAAUUUAAAAGUUAACUUAUGCUCUUAUAGCAUCUAAACAAAAUUAAUGAUAGGUUAAAAGUAACAAGGCUAAUAAUUACUC
rnacentral:misc_RNA from 1 species